UUGUGUGUGUGUGUGUGUGUGCGUAUCUUUGUCUGUGUGUGUGUGUGUGUGUGUGUGUAUCUGUCUCAGUAUGUGCCUGUCUGUGUGUGUGUGUGUGUGUGUGUGUGUGUGUUUCACAGGGUAAACAAGAUGAGCUGUUAGUGGAUCCUGCCGAACCAGCUGAGAGGGCAAUUGAGGAAAAACAGAACCCAGGGAUGUUCAGGGGUGUGAUGCAGAAAAUCAAUCCCUUCAAAUCCGUCACCCAGGACAGCCAGUCAGUGACCAGUGACUCCUCCGUCAGUUCUGACAGUUUGGCAGAAAACAAUAACACUGAGGCCAAACAGCAGCAGCCCAUGAAAGGUGUGCCUGGCGUUGAGGAACAGCAGUUCACCGAGAGGAAGAGCAAAAAGAAAGGG
ensembl:lncRNA